rnacentral:rRNA from 1 species
AAGCUCGUAGUUGAAUUUCGGGGUUAGCAGGUUGGUCGUGCCACUGGUAUGUACUGGCCUUGCUGAUUCCUCCCUCUUGAUGAGCCGUAAUGCCAUUAAUUUGGUGUUGCGAGGAAUCAGGACUGUUACUUUGAAAAAAUUAGAGUGUUUAAAGCAGGCAAGCGCUUGAAUACAUUAGCAUGGAAUAAUGAAAUAGGACGUUUGAUCUUAUUUUGUUGGUUUCUAAGAUUGACGUAAUGAUUAAUAGGGAUAGUUGGG